rnacentral:tRNA from 1 species
UGGCUCAGAGGUAGAGCACUUGCCUUGCAUGCAUGAGGCCCUGGGUUCGAUUCCUCAG